rnacentral:lncRNA from 1 species
AAAACACGUGGGCUUCACCUAGCGAGCAUGACAGCUCAUGAACAAACCUUUGCUCCUUCAAAAUUAACAUUUUGACUGACGAAUAGGCCCCUGUUGGAAGUAACUCAAGUCUUUCCCUUGUGUUGACUGAUCAUCUAAAUAGAGCCCACAAAGUGUCAUGGAUGAUGUUCAAGCUUCUUGGAUCCGAUUCCGAUUUCCAUGAUGAAAUUCAAAUGCUAAAUGACCUAAAAAUGAAUGCAUGCAUGAGGUGUAAAGCGUAUGCUUCCAGGAAAAUGAAGGGUAAAUUUUGGGGUAUUAUAGGGAAAACAAAAACACACGCCCUGGUCCACAAAGCAAGUUAGAAAAUAAAAAUAAAAAUAAAAAUAAAAUGGCAAUGCCAGGUUUUAAAUCAUGUGGAACAUGGCAUCAAUCGGUCACCUUCACUUAAGCAAAAAAAGACAAAACAAAACCAUGGCCAAUCACAACACAACACCUACUCGUCUUCAACCUCGGCCAUGCAUAAAAAUGAGAUCAAAAACCCUAAUC